UGUAACGAAUACAACAUUAAUGCACUGGAUUCUAUUAGAACUCCAUAAUUAAGCACGCUUGGGCUAGAGUAGUACAAGGAUGGGUGACUGUUACACAUUAUUUUCGUCAUCC
rnacentral:rRNA from 1 species